rnacentral:miRNA from 1 species
CUUGCUGGAAUGUCCAGGG